UGGUAGAUGCACCCUGUAAUGCCCCCCCGGAAAGUUUAUUUUUGGGGGGUUUUUAU
rnacentral:sRNA from 1 species